rnacentral:rRNA from 1 species
AAUCAACGCUGGCGGCGUGCCUAACACAUGCAAGUCGAACGCGAAAGUCCCGCAAGGGAUUAGUAGAGUGGCAAACGGGUGAGUAACACGUGGGUGACCUGCCUUCGAGUGGGGGAUAACGUCCCGAAAGGGACGCUAAUACCGCAUAACAUCCUGCCUUUGAAGAGGUGGAGAUCAAAGCUGGGGACCGCAAGGCCUGGCGC